UCUCUCUCUCUCUCUCUCUCUCUGUCUUGCCAUCUUCACAAGAUGCAUCACCAUCGAUCUAAGCUAGGGUUUUUGCUUCCCCAACCUCUCCUCUCUCUCUUGCUCUAGCUAGCUUAUAUAUAGCUAGCCUUGCUACCUACCUAGGAAGUCAUCUCCCUCGCCCUCCUUCACUCACUCACUCACCGUGUGAGAAGCUUGGCCGGCCAUGCCACCCCAGUCUCUCUUUAACCCUUCUUCUUCUUCUUCUUCUUCUUCUUCUUCUUCUUCUUCUUCGCCUUCCUCUUUCUCAUCUUCCUUCAUCGAUCUCUGCAUCGAUCCAGAGAUGACUUCUCCGGCGCGACCUUCGUUUCCGGUCCGGCGAGCCGCGGCGGCGACGGUGUGGUCCAUCGGGUUAUGGUGGCCUUAUGGAUCAGUUAAUCGAUCUACGACUGGUUCUUGAUUCUUUUUCUCUCUCUCUCUUUUUUCCCUUAAUAUCCUCAAGGAUAUAUAGGCUCUUAAUUUUCUCUUGUUAAUUAAAUAGUUUGGGACCAAUCUGUUGUUCCUUCCACAGAUAAUACCCACUUCGAUCUUGAUUGAGCCACACAUCAUUAGUUCAUAUAUAUUACCACCCAAUGCCCCCCGCUGGCCUCUUCACUCUCCAUGCAGAUAUAUGUAGAGGAUUAUCCAAUCGAUCUCCUGGUAGGUAGCUAAGGCUAAGCUCUUAAUUAUCGAUCUCACAAGUCGGAACAAAUUGGCGAGCAUGAGAGGUAGCUAGGCUGAAUCGAGACGAAGCAGCAAACAGUCGGUGCUUGCAGGUGCAGCACCAUCAAGAUUCACAUCGUCGAGUUCAUCCUAAAAGAGAGAGAGAGAGUGAGAGAGAGAGAGGGAUCGAGGUGUGGCUGACUAUAUGCGAUGAGAAUCUUGAUGAUGCUGCAUCAGCAAACGCUCGACUACACUCGUCGCCAUGGCCGGCUUAAUUGGAGACUCAGGUACGCUUUUACUUAUAUACAGUUAUAGCUUCCCCUGGCCUUCCUAUCUGAGCUUAAUUGGUUUGAUUGUUUCAGCUUCAACUCCUUUUCUUCUAAGCGCAUCUUCUUUUCAUUCUUCUCUACGAAUAUGCAACAGUUAGCACUGCUACCCCAUGGAGUUUGAGCAAUAUAUGUUCAAGUUUUUUUUGUCUAAAAUAUAUGUUCAAGUUUCCUUUAAGUUUUUCUCAUGAUACUGGUAUGGAGAGAGGGAGUAGUCAAAACAAGGUGAUGACUUAGUCACCACUGAUUUAGGUUGUUUGGUUAAUUUAUUAAUUUGUUCAUGCUUCUCCUCUCUCGUACUAUGAAUAUGUGAAUGUUCCCAGUCCUCCAGUAUGAUACACAAGCAGGAAUUAAUGGACGAAGAAACAUGAUGAUUAUUCAGGUACACCAUGAUUUCAUGACAUAAUAUCAAUUUGAUGUGGGAGGUUAGCUAGCCACUCCUCUCGUGAUACAUGGAGCUUAAUUUCGAGGUAGGCCCAUUUUGAAUGAAGUGAUUAUUAAUUGGAGAUUAAUUAACAAACUAAGCUGUCCCAGACCUCAUCGUCAUCAUCAACAACAACUUCAUCUGCACGUAUGUAGUCAGCUUAGUUAAAAGAAUCUCUUGCAUUCAGUUCGUAGAUAGCUUCAUCCUCUCCCAUCAGGACACGUACUUUCAUUCUUUAAUUAUGUUUCACUAAUCACCUGCAAGCUCAAUUAAUUCUUCCAGUUGCUUAUUACAAGUACUGAACAACUAGCUUCUGCUCAGUUAGCCAGUUGAUUAACUACACGAGUAUUAAUUCCUUAAUUAAUCAAUCAUGCAGAUGUAUGAAUACUUUAUUUCUUGUUGUCCCAGUGAGCUUGUACAGCACUAAUAACAGCUGCUAAGUAUCUGGUUGACGUUGCAGAUAAUAUGCUAUGCUCAGUCUGAUGUACAUAUUCCAAUCAUCAUUAUAGUUGGGGAUAUGAUGUGCUGUGCCACUUCCAGCUAGCUAAACUGAUAAUACAUACAUACAUACAUACAUACAUAUAUAUAUAUAUUCUGCAUGCAUAUAUUCUGUUGUUACAUAUAUGGUACUGCAGUAGUAUUCCCUGAAUGGAGCUAUAUAUGUAUAUCCAAACAUUCUUGCUUUCAUUAAUUGAUGGCCAGCUUAGUUAAUAAGUAUUACAUAUAUAUGUCUGUUCUGUUUGCUUGCAAGCUAGCUGCUGCUCCUGCUCCAUUAAUUCUUUUCUCUGAGCAGUUUACAACAUAUGUCAAAGUUAAAUUAAAGCUUUCAUAGUAACAUAUGGUAGUAUAUGCAAGUACUGCUGCCAUCUUUUUGAUAUAUACUGGAAGGACAAUAAUAUGCAUGCUCGAUCUCUACAUAGAUAGAUCUUUUUGAUGCAUGUGGUGUGCUAGGCUGCUAGCUCUCAGGAAUUGUGUGGAUGCUAAGCUAUCCAGCCAUAGAAGCAAAGGAGGAGCUAAUUAAGUAGCUAGGGACAGGCAGGCAGGCAGGCAGCCAUGGCUCGAAUCAUGCAAGAACAGUUCCUCUGCAUUCUUGCAUACACAACACUCACUCAUAUGGAUCAUCCGUGUCCAAAUCACAUCGAGCAUAUACAUCGAUCGUUCCUUCAAUCGAUCUAAGUCACUGCGUGGACCCAUUGCAUGCAGAGAGAGUGUACGUACGUCGUACAUUUGCUAUUAUUGUGCCCAAGAAAGGGACCAAUAUGCAAUUUGUGCAGAUGCGGAAUUGCAGAGAGAGAGAGAGAGAGAGCCAUGGCGCAUCAAUGCAUCAGAGAGGCAGAAGAGGGCGGGCCGAGACGACGGAGACAAUGGUGUCUCAAAGCCUCAAGCUAAGGCUGCUCCAAUCCCAGCUGCUGCCUGCCUGGCCGACGGUUAAGAAUUUCAGAUCAUCAGAUCGAUGUUGACUACGAGCUGUACAAGAAAAUUUGCUGCCGAUUCUGCUGCUGCAUGCAUGCUGCACACUAUGCCUGAUCGAAUCUUCAGGCAGCUCGAUCAUAAGAUCGAUUCACAUGCAUGGAUAUCGAUCAAUAUAUAUGAAUCCAUCCAUCCAUCCAUCUGAUGAAACAAAACCAAUCAGCUAGUAGCUAGCUAGCUUAAUUGGGAUCAUAUAUAUCUCAUUCUCAUCUGAUGGGAAAAUUAAUGAUCAUUAUACAUGCAUAGGAGUACGUAAAUUGUAUAAUAAUUCAUGUGUGUACGACCAUUAAUUUCUCUGCAUGCGUAUCUGAAUGUAUACAUCAAUGUUAUACAAGAUCCGUAUAGAGCGGUUAAUUAAUCCAUCCAUUCACUGCUAGGUAGCUUGGUAGGUGCCCCCAGCAACUGUUGCAGGAGUAUAUGCAUGCGGCAAUGCAAUUAGCAGAAGCUAGGUUAAUUCGUAGACAGUGUAGGUAUAUAUAUGCAUUGCAUAGUACCGGUGCAUGAAAUAACUGUACUGCGAUGCUCGAUCGAUCUUAUAUUUAUUUAGGCCCCCCGUUCAGUUGAAAAAAAAUUUAGAAGAGAGGUCCCAUCGACACGUACAGUUAUAUAUUUGAAGUAUUAAACAUGUUCUAAUUACG